CAGAGUUGCAAGACUCCCUAAACCAUUGUGAACCUACCUUCCACCGUUGCUUCGGCGGGCGGGCCCAGCGCCCCCCCGGCCCCCCGCGGGCGCCCGCCGGAGGAUACCCAAACUCUUGACAUUAGUGGCCUCUCUGAGUAUUCUUUUCUGAAUAAGUCA
rnacentral:misc_RNA from 1 species